CAAAUUCAAGCUGAAUCCUUGGAGGAUUUGAGUUGGGGAUCACAUCAUAGAUGCUCACAAGGAUCCUAGCAAUAAUUUCCACUAACAAACCUCGCGGGAUGAGGGCUCAAACUCGAACAACAAUAAAUCCCAAAAAAUAGCUCCGAAAAUACUGAAAAACAGAAAUGGGAGAAACCAAAAGACUUAGCCACGGAUUUGAACCACAAACUCGACUAAAUCACGAGGACAACAUCUUUACAAGAUGAGGACUAGCCUCCUCCUUUCAUCCACCCACUAAGAUGAAGAAAUCAAGAGAAAAGAGCAAUCAUCCUCUCAUCUCCCUCUCUC
rnacentral:lncRNA from 1 species